rnacentral:rRNA from 1 species
UACGUAGGGGGCGAGCGUUGUCCGGAAUCAUUGGGCGUAAAGCGCGCGUAGGCGGCCCGGUAAGUCCGCUGUGAAAGUCCAGGGCUCAACCCUGGGAUGCCGGUGGAUACUGUCGGGCUCGAGUCCGGAAGAGGCGAGUGGAAUUCCUGGUGUAGCGGUGAAAUGCGCAGAUAUCAGGAGGAACACCGAUUGCGAAGGCAGCUCGCUGGGACGUCACUGACGCUGAGACGCGAAAGCGUGGGGAGCAAACAGG